rnacentral:tRNA from 1 species
GUCCCGGUAGCUCAGGCGGUACGAGCGCGGCCACGACACGGCCGAGGCCCCUGGUUCGAUCCCAGGUCGGGACAC